CCGUCGGUUCGAGGUCCCUCCACCAGGAAGCUGUGGAUUUGGCACUCACGGGAAUUGCAGCGCACCGGGCUUCCUCCUCCGUCCAUCCUCCACACGAAACCCUGCGUCCCCUGUCACUCGCGUGAAUUCCUCCUCCGUCCGUCCUCCGCGCGAAACCCUACGUUGCCGCCAGCUCUCCCUCCCUUCGUCCUUCUCCCUACGUCGCCAGUUGCCGCCGCCCCUUCUUGCGUCACCAGCCGCCACCGCUCCUACUUGCCUUCUUCUAUCCGCGUCUCGCUCCCAAAGAAGCCGCCGCUCCCGCACGCCCGCACUCCAUCCCAGUCGCUGCCCGCGGCGCUGCCCCGUGGAGGUCGCGACGUCGUCACCGCACCUCGCCGGAUCUGAUGGCCGACCCCCCUACCUGCCUUCUUCUAUCCGUGUCUCGCUCCCAAAGAAGCCGCCACUCUCACACGCCCGCAUGCCCGCACUUCGUCCCGGUCGCUGCCCGCCGCGCUGCCCCAUGGAGGCCGCGACACCGUCGCCGCACCUCGUCGAAGCCACGCGCCUCGCUGGAUCUGACGGAAGACCCCUCCCCUACAUGCCUUCUUCUAUCCGCGUCUCACUCCCAAAGAAGCCGCUGCUUCCGCACACCCGCACUCUGUCCUGGUCGCUGCCGUGCUGUGGAGGAUCAGCCAACGUAGGGUCUGAACACUGAGCUACCAUGCUGUGGAGGAUCAGCCAAGGCAGGGUCUUAACACUUGUGUUUCAGGGGAGGGAGGCAGUUAAGGAGCUCCAUACGGCAGCUACACAAGGGUACAUUCCAUAGAUCAUCAUCAAACUCGGAAGAGGUGAAAUGUCUGCCUGGUGGUAAGGCCAAGAAAAAGGUUGUUCCCUACCGCUACUGUCUGUUAGAGUUUUAGCAAAAUGGGGUAUCUGUGGAUAGCUUUUUUCAUUGGUGGUACAGAGAAUUUCUUCAGUGACAAGAUGUUAUGAUUGAGAAUAUUCUAUUUUAUAAAAUCUUUGUAUGGUAGCAAAGUCGUCUCCUAGCAUUUUCCAUACUCACUUGAAAGAUAUUAUAGACAUUUGGUUUGGGUGCUGGGAUAAGGAGGAGAAUAUGCUUCCUAGAACUGCUAGAAAAAGUUAUUCUAAAGGUCAAGUAAUACACUUACCUAUAUUGCUUUGGUUUUAUAUUAUGUGGGAAAUGGUCUUGUUAUAAUUAUUUUGACCUAUCUAUCUUACAGAACACAUGGAUCACAACGUGGCCAACAUGCAUCUCAGCAUCAAAUUCUCACAUGGAAGCAGGUGAUAGCAUUCAGGGAUCGCACUAUAUGAAGGAGGGUCCACUGCUUUUCUGAUUGUGGAUCAACUGAUGAAGCUGCUUUUUGGACGGUUAGGACUUUGAGGAUCUGGAAGGGCAUCUUCAGAUGGUGUAUUUUCUCUAGAUCUAUGCUAAUGUCCUCCUGUGCUGAUGACAAUGACUUGGAAGAUGGUCUUUUUUGGCAAUGGCACACUCGGAUUCACAAACUUAUCUUCCAACAUCGAGUGGCACAUCAGGUUCUGGCUCGAUUGCCCGUGAAUCCGGGAGUCAGGCCUCAGGUAGAUGGUUGCAACGUGUUGAUAUGAAAAAUAGGUGGACAUAGACGACAGUACUUAAGAUGGUAAACAUCUGGAAGAGGGGCGCACUGGAUGUUGCCAUGCUAUUGGUGUUCGUGCUUUUCAACAACAGUUGCGUGCACCGCUGCAUCCCUACGCUCAACAUACCUGCUGCUAGCAACCCUUCGACAAACUCCUUAACAGGUGUUUGAGCAUUGCACAUUUAAUUGGAAGUUGGGGCAGCUGUAUUGCUGUGCACAAACUUCAUCGCCGACCACUCCAGUGGCAGGUUCUGAUGGCUACCAAUGGAAGUUGACUUGUUCAUUGUUGGCUUGAGAAGACAAUUGUUUUUUUAUAUACAAUGAUUUGUGCAUGAUUGUCCAUAUGAAAAUUAAUGCUUAUGGAGAUAAUUUGUUUCAACUGUAGCAAUAUAUGUGCAGUGUUUUUAAUA